rnacentral:rRNA from 1 species
GGUGAGUAACACGUGAGUAACCCGCCCCCCGAGAGCGGGAUAGCCCUGGGAAACUGGGAUUAAUUACCGCAUAGUAUCGAAAGAUUAAAGCAGCAAUGCGCUUGGGGGUGGGCUCGCGGCCUAUUAGUUAGUUGGUGAGGUAACGGCUCACCAAGGCGAUGACGGGUAGCCGGUCUGAGAGGAUGUCCGGCCACACUGGAACUGAGACACGGUCCAGACACCUACGGGUGGCAGCAGUCGAGAAUUAUUCACAAUGGGGGAAACCCUGAUGGUGCGACGCCGCGUGGGGGAAUGAAGGUCUUCGGAUUGUAAACCCCUGUCAUGUGGGAGCAAAUUAAAAAGAUAGUACCACAAGAGGAAGAGACGGCUAACUCUGUGCCAGCAGCCGCGGUAAUACAGAGGUCUCAAGCGUUGUUCGGAAUCACUGGGCGUAAAGCGUGCGUAGGCUGUUUCGUAAGUCGUGUGUGAAAGGCGCGGGCUCAACCCGCGGACGGCACACGAUACUGCGAGACUAGAGUAAUGGAGGGGGAACCGGAAUUCUCGGUGUAGCAGUGAAAUGCGUAGAUAUCGAGAGGAACACUCGUGGCGAAGGCGGGUUCCUGGACAUUAACUGACGCUGAGGCACGAAGGCCAGGGGAGCGAAAGGGAUUAGAUACCCCUGUAGUCCUGGCAGUAAACGGUGCACGCUUGGUGUGCGGGGAAUCGACCCCCUGCGUGCCGGAGCUAACGCGUUAAGCGUGCCGCCUGGGGAGUACGGUCGCAAGAUUAAAACUCAAAGAAAUUGACGGGGACCCGCACAAGCGGUGGAGUAUGUGGCUUAAUUCGAUGCAACGCGAAGAACCUUACCUGGGCUUGACAUGUAAUGAACAACAUGUGAAAGCAUGCGACUCUUCGGAGGCGUUACACAGGUGCUGCAUGGCCGUCGUCAGCUCGUGUCGUGAGAUGUUUGGUUAAGUCCAGCAACGAGCGCAACCCCUGUUGCCAGUUACCAGCACGUGAAGGUGGGGACUCUGGCGAGACUGCCCAGAUCAACUGGGAGGAAGGUGGGGACGACGUCAGGUCAGUAUGGCCCUUAUGCCCAGGGCUACACACGUACUACAAUGCCCAGUACAGAGGGGGCCGAAGGCGCGAGGCGGAGGAAAUCCUAAAAACUGGGCCCAGUUCGGACUGUAGGCUGCAACCCGCCUACACGAAGCCGGAAUCGCUAGUAAUGGCGCAUCAGCUACGGCGCCGUGAAUACGUUCCCGGGUCUUGCACACACCGCCCGUCA